CACGUAGGGUGCGAGCGUUGUCCGGAAUUAUUGGGCGUAAAGAGCUCGUAGGCGGUGUGUCGCGUCGGCCGUGAAAACCUGCAGCUUAACUGUGGGCUUGCGGUCGAUACGGGCAUCACUGGAGUUCGGCAGGGGAGACUGGAAUUCCUGGUGUAGCGGUGAAAUGCGCAGAUAUCGGGAGGAACACCCGUAGCGAAGGCGGCACUCUGGGCCGGAACUGACGCUGAGGAGCGAAAGCGUGGGGAGCAAACAGG
rnacentral:rRNA from 1 species